rnacentral:rRNA from 1 species
GGACCCGCACAAGUGGUGGAGCAUGUGGUUUAAUUCGAAGAUACACGAAGAACCUUACCUGGCCUUGACAUGGUAGGAACCCUGUAGAGAUACGGGGGUGCUAGCUUGCUAGAGCCUACACACAGGUGCUGCACGGCUGUCGUCAGCUCGUGUCGUGAGAUGUUGGGUUAAGUCCCGCAACGAGCGCAACCCUCGUCCUUAGUUGCUAACGGUUCGGCCGAGCACUCUAGGGAGACUGCCUUCGCAAGGAGGAGGAAGGUGAGGACGACGUCAAGUCAUCAUGGCCCUUACGGCCAGGGCUACACACGUGCUACAAUGGGGCGUACAGAGAGCUGCGAUACCGCGAGGUGGAGCCAAUCUCUUAAAGCGUCUCUCAGUUCGGAUUGUUCUCUGCAACUCGAGAACAUGAAGCUGGAAUCACUAGUAAUCGCAGAUCAGCUAUGCUGCGGUGAAUACGUUCCCGGGUCUU